CCUGGCGGGGAUGACACACUUGCCCUCACUGAGCGCAGUACUGACGAUACAAUAUCCGUACUCAUCUGAUGCUGAGCCGGG